rnacentral:rRNA from 1 species
GCCUCAGUAACGGCGAGUGAAGCGGCAACAGCUCAAAUUUGAAAUCUGGCCCUCUCAGGGUCCGAGUUGUAAUUUGUAGAGGGUGCUUUGGCGUCGGCCGUGGUCUAAGUUCCUUGGAACAGGACGUCACAGAGGGUGAGAAUCCCGUACGUGGCCGCCGGUCUUCGCCGUGUAAAGCCCCUUCGACGAGUCGAGUUGUUUGGGAAUGCAGCUCUAAAUGGGAGAUAAAUUUCUUCUAAAGCUAAAUAUUGGCCAGAGACCGAUAGCGCACAAGUAGAGUGAUCGAAAGAUGAAAAGCACUUUGGAAAGAGAGUCAAAAAGCACGUGAAAUUGUUGAAAGGGAAGCGCUUGCAGCCAGACGUGCCCGCAGUUGCUCACCUGGGCUUUUGCCCGGGGCAUUCUUCUGCGGGCAGGCCAGCAUCAGUCCGGGCGGUUGGAUAAAGGCCUCUAUCACGUACCACCCUUCGGGGUGUCCUUAUAGGGGAGGCGCAACACGGCCAGCCUGGACUGAGGACCGCGCAUUUGCUAGGAUGCUGGCGUAAUGGCUGUAAGCGGCCCGUCUUGAAACACGGACCAAGGAGUCUAACAUCUAUGCGAGUGUUUGGGUGUAAAGCCCGGGCGCGCAAUGAAAGUGAACGGAGGUGGGAACCCCUCGGGGUGCACCAUCGACCGAUCCUGAAGUCUUCGGAUGGAUUUGAGUAAGAGCAUAGCUGUUGGGACCCGAAAGAUGGUGAACUAUGCCUGAAUAGGGUGAAGCCAGGGGAAACCCUGGUGGAGGCUCGCAGCGGUUCUGACGUGCAAAUCGAUCGUCAAAUUUGGGCAUAGGGGCGAAAGACU